AUUGAACGCUGGCGGCAGGCCUAACACAUGCAAGUCGAGCGGGAACUUCGGUUCUAGCGGCGGACGGGUGAGUAAUGCGUAGGAAGCUACCCGACAGAGGGGGAUACCAGUUGGAAACGACUGUUAAUACCGCAUAAUGUCUACGGACCAAAGUGUGGGACCUUCGGGCCACAUGCUAUCGGAUGCGCCUACGUGGGAUUAGCUAGUUGUUGAAGUAAUGGCUCACCAAGGCGACGAUCUCUAGCUGGUUUGAGAGGAUGAUCAGCCACACUGGAACUGAGACACGGUCCAGACUCCUACGGGAGGCAGCAGUGGGGAAUAUUGGACAAUGGGCGCAAGCCUGAUCCAGCCAUGCCGCGUGUGUGAAGAAGGCCUUCGGGUUGUAAAGCACUUUCAGCGAGGAGGAAGGGUGGUGUGUUAAUAGCACAUCAUUUUGACGUUACUCGCAGAAGAAGCACCGGCUAACUCUGUGCCAGCAGCCGCCGUAAAAC
rnacentral:rRNA from 1 species